AACGAACGCUGGCGGCAGGCUUAACUCAUGCAAGUCGAACGCCCCGCAAGGGGAGUGGCAGACGGGUGAGUAACGCGUGGGAACAUACCCUUUUCUACGGAAUAGCUCUGGGAAACUGGAAUUAAUACCGUAUACGCCCUACGGGGGAAAGAUUUAUCGGGGAAGGAUUGGCCCGCGUUGGAUUAGCUAGUUGGUGGGGUAAAGGCCUACCAAGGCGACGAUCCAUAGCUGGUCUGAGAGGAUGAUCAGCCACAUUGGGACUGAGACACGGCCCAAACUCCUACGGGAGGCAGCAGUGGGGAAUAUUGGACAAUGGGCGCAAGCCUGAUCCAGCCAUGCCGCGUGAGUGAUGAAGGCCUUAGGGUUGUAAAGCUCUUUCACCGAUGAAGAUAAUGACGGUAGUCGGAGAAGAAGCCCCGGCUAACUUCGUG
rnacentral:rRNA from 1 species